rnacentral:lncRNA from 13 species
GCUUGUGAUCAGAUUGGAAAUAAAAUCAAAUACAUUUGGGGGGCAUAAAUUGUGACAAUGCAGUAAGUGACAAGAUACUGUUAUCCCUUUUUGUCUGUGGUGACUAUUGACCAUAGACAAAAAGUGAAAUAGAAUGCACAUGCAUUUUCCAAUAAGAUCUCAGAGUUUAUGGAGAAAAAAGUUAGUUUAUACAUAAACUUGAUAAUGUAACAGUUGUUAAAGUACUAUGUGAAUUUCACCAGGUUCAUAUAUCAAUAUGUUGUGUUGAUUUGUUAUGCAUGCCUGCAUCCUGGGAGAAGGGGAGUGUGUACUUACAUUUUGCCCGGCGUGCUCAAAUCAUUUUGAUGCACUGAGAGAGGUAGGCACGCUUUUUCUGUCUUCAGAAAAGUUUGAUUCUUUUAAGUACAACGUCAUACACACAGUGUUUUGUUCAUGAAUAAUGAUGUAUAUUUAGAGGUUACUCAUAAGUGGAUGGUAUUGUUAAGAUGCACUUGUAAUUGUACUUUUUAGGAUGAUGUCAAUAUUCUGAAUUCAACAUGUGGUUAAUAGCUAGCUAAGGUAUUAGCAGGCUAUUGUAUGUGUGAACGAUGGCUAGCUCCUCGAAUGAUCCCAAUCCCUCCUAUUGUGCAUCUGUUGUAGAAAGAGGCGACGAUUCUCAGAACAUAUGUGCUCUACAAAUGUUUUAUUUCCUUUUGGGUGCAGGUAUGUGGUUUUAUCUAUGUAAAAUAUGUUAUGUAUAAUAAGGAGAGAGUUAAUUUUUGUAUUCGAAAAUCAUUUUGAUGCACUGAGAGAGAAAGAGGUGACGAUUCUCAGAACAUAUGUGCUCUACAAAUGUUUUAUUUCCUUUUGGAUGCAGAUGCAGGAUGCAGAGAGUCAGUUCUGCUUGAUUAAAACUACCUGAUCUCCAAAGUCCACGUUCAUAGUCUCUAUCAACCACACACAACGCAGAGUUACAGCGGUGCAGAAUAGCACCGGCUACAAUAACAUAUAAUAGUUAUUAAAAUACACAUAUAAUAGUUAUGUCUGUAAAGGUCUAACAAGUUCACUUUGAAUUGUUCAACUAGCAGGUAGACUGACAUAAAUCAUGACGUAAUAUACAGUAAGUGACGUUGAAGAUACUGAUUUCCCUUUUGUCUGUGGUGACUAUUGACCAUAGACAAAAAGUAAAUAGAAUGUGCAUGCAUUUUCCAAUAAGAUCUCAGACUUUAAGGAUAAAAAAAAUAAGGAAACUUAAAAUAAGUCAACUUAUUUUUUAAAUCCAUAAAGUUUGAGAUCGUAUAUUAAAAU